AGCGCUUUAAGGAGGCGGCGCAGUGGGGCUGGGUAUGCUGACCGCUCUGCGGGCUGGGUUUCCAACCUCCCAGCAUCCCGGCCACGCGGGUCCGCGAUGCCAAACCCCCUCACCCUCCAGAUAGCAACCGUCACCCCAUCAGAUAACCUUCAGAACCCUCCUGGGACUCCUGCCCCCCACCCCUGGACCACGACCCUUGCCCCUCCCCUGGAUAGCUACUCCUAGUAGCCCCCCGGAACGCCUGCACCCCCUUACCCUGGGCCAGCGACCUCCGCCCCCCCACAACACCAGCAGCCCCCGAACAUCUGCCCCCUUAACUCCGGGUCAGCAAACCCCAGCACCUCUCAGGACACCUACCCCACUCAGCCCAAGAGAGCGACCCCCAGCACCCCCUGGGGCCCCUGAGCCCCCCCCAUCCCGGGUUAGCGACCCCUGCCUCUCUACGACCCCCAGCACUCCCCCAGACACCUGCGUCCUUCACACCGGGUCAGCAAACCCCAGAACCUCCCGGGACGCCUGCCCGCCCCCAGUCAGGAGCAGCGACCCCAGCCCGCGUUGAACGGCGAAGAAGGGUCUGCAGGUCACUUCCCAGACAACCUGGCGGUCGCGUUGAAAUAAUUACCCACACUCCCCAGCCCUGCGCUUGGUUCACCUGCAAAGAUCAGGACCCUCCAAAGUUGGUUGAAGCCCUAAACCCCAUGUGGCUGUUUUGGAGACGGGGCAUCUGAGGAAGUAAGUAGGAUUCAAAGUGGUCUGGAGGGUAGGGCCCUGAUCCAGGAGGAGUGAUGUCCUUACAGAAGAAACACCAGGCAGCUCCCGCACUCUGUCCUUGGGAACUCACUGAAGAAGGCCUGUGAGGACACGUGCAGAGCCCUGUCUAUGAGCCAGGACACGGACCUCGCCAGAAACUGAAUUGAUCAGAACCUUGAUCAUAGACUUCCACUCUCCAGAACUCAUGGAGGGAGGCAGACUUGGGUCAAAGCUAACUGGAAAUGAGAGUGGCCAUAGCUUUGACUCUGAACUGCUUUCACCUGCUGCGGUCCAGAAGCAGACCUUCUUCAGAGUGAAAAGGUAGCAAGAGACCGCAUCCUUCAUCAGAACCAGUGUAUCUUGCCAACAAACAAGCCCAAGUUCUGCUUCUUUCAGGCACAGAGGAAACAUGGCUCACUUCUGUCCAGAAGUACAAAUGCCUCGGGGCAUUGGUUCUCGCCACAGGUGGCCAGCGGUGGGCACAUGUUCCAGCCCUGAGGACAUCGGAACUCUGCCACCACCAGUGGUGGUGCCCAGAGCGAUGCAAAGGCCUCGGGCAGAAGGUGUUUAACUUGCUAGACCCAGGAGGAGACAGCCUGCAACCCUGGAAGGGGAGGUUGUGAAACCUCAGCUUUUCCUGCCUAAGAGUGGCUUCUUUAAAUGUAAAAAGCCCUCAAACAUGAAGUUAAUUACAUGAUGUUUUAGAAUUAAUAAAUCAAACAAAAGUGGCUUACACUUGACAAACCAAGCUGCUGGACUUGAGAAGGGCAGGAAGACACUGGCUGGUCUCCCCUCUGGACAUACCGUGAGCCCAUACUGUGGACCUUGCAGCCAGUGUGGAAGCCAUGCUGCCUUGCUGCUUCUAUGUCAAACUUUGGGGGAGGAGCAUAGAGAGACUCCACAGGAGCCUCCUGCAUGGCACCGCCUUGACACUGGCCUGGGCACAGCCAAAAGGGCUCUGCUUGCCCCAGGGCCCCCUCCUGUGGGACAUGCCCACCUCCUUUGAAAUCCUACCUGUUUCUGUAAUUUCGUCCUUCCAGGGAGCUUGAUUGGCCCUGGCAGGAGGAAAGUGGAAGGUAAGUGGGGUGGUGGGACUUUAGGGAGAGCUCCCUUCCUACCUGAUAGGAACUUCCUCAGAUAUGCUGAGAUCUUGAAGGUCUAGGUAUCAGUGACAUCCAAGUAGUCACCACCAACAUUCAACUCUUUUAUUGUACACUGGUUUGAAUGGUUUAUACUUACCUUAUGUGUACAAUUUUUCAAUUAAUAAGGCAGCACAAACAAAAGUACUGCAUAGAGUCUGGGUCCUGGCUCAGGCCCAGCUUUGGGUAGAUGGGGGAAGGAACUUUACAUCUGUGACCAUCCACCUAUUGCACAUGGAUCACCUGUAGGCUGGCUUCUGUCAGCUCUCUGCUGAAAUGGGUCCUGUGUGAGCCCUGGCCUACUGGCUGCAGCACUGACACCUCUGCCGUCUCCCUGCCCCACCCUGGCCCUUUCUUUCCUGUGUUCCCUGGAGCCAUGCUGCUGCUUCCCUACAAUCUGCUUACUUUUGUUUCUGUUGCCCAGACCUAUCGUGCUGUUCUUCUAGGAAGUGAGUUUCUGUCUGGAGCAAGUCUAAAUACUGUGUACUGGGCGGUGGGGCACUUGUAUCCUCCAGGUCAGCACCCUGUGCCUCAACCCUGAUCUCCUCUUCCUCCUCCCCAAGGCCCAUGGCUCUGUGGUCCAGCAUGUGUAGAAAUUGAGCUGACAUGGGCUCUGAUAAGGAGGCAGUCAUCUUGUGCCUCCAGGUUGCUGUGACAUCACUGAGAUGACCCCUGCUCUGUCCCUUAUCUAAAAAUAUCAGACUUCAAUCUCUAAGAUGCAGGAACAAGUUCCUACAUGUUUUUCAUCACCCAGUGUCCUGCAUGAGCAAGAAUGUUCCCAUCCUCCCUGAAUAGGGCGAGUAGUGUGGAGCAAAGGUGGGAAGACUGGAGAGGAAGCUGGUUGCUUAUAUCUGAGAAGAGUACAGGUUCUCAUGGUAAUAAAAGCAGGUGGAACCUGCAGUUUCA